CCCUUAGACGUUCUGGGCCGAACGCGCGCUACACUGACCAGUGCAACAAGCAUCCGUCCUUGGCCGACAGGCUCGGGCAAUCUUUGAACGCUGGUCGUGAUGGGGAUAGACUUUUGCAAUUUUUGGUCUUCAACGAGGAAUUCCUAGUAAACGCAAGUCAUCAACUUGCAUUGAUUACGUCCCUGCCCUUUGUACACACCGCCCGUCGCACCUACCGAUUGAAUGGUCCGGUGAAGCCUCCGGAUUGGCGCGCACCUCGGUGCCGCCGAGAAGUUGGCUAAACCUUACCAUUUAGAGGAAGGUGAAGUCGUAACA
rnacentral:rRNA from 1 species